rnacentral:rRNA from 1 species
AGCGGGGCUUCAGCAUCGUGCGAGAAGUUCUUCGAUAUGAGUAGGCGGCGGACGGGUGAGUAACGCGUAGGAAUCUACCUAGUAGAAGGGGAUAGCCCGGGGAAACUCGGAUUAAUACCGUAUACCUCCUUCGGGAAAAGAAGGCCUCUCUUUGAAGCUUUCGCUACUAGAUGAGCCUGCUAAGAUUAGCUUGUUGGUGAGGUAAGGCUCACCAGGCGACAUUUUAGGGGUCUGAAGGACAUCCCCACUUGGGACUGAACACGGCCCAACUCCUACGGGAGGCAGCAGGGGAAUAUUGGACAAUGGGCGCAAGCCUGAUCCACCAUACCGCGUGGUAAAAGGCCCUAGGGUUGUAAAGCACUUUAAGUUGGAAAAAAGUUAUUGGUUAAUACCCAAUAGCCGUGACAUUACCACCAAAUAAGGACCGGCUAAUUCCGUGCCAGCAGCCGCGGUAAUACGGAAGGUCCAAGCGUUAAUCGGAAUUACUGGGCGUAAAGCGCGCGUAGGUGGUUUAUUAAGUUGGAUGUGAAAUCCCCGGGCUCAACCUGGGAACUGCAUCCAAAACUGAUUCACUAGAGUACGAUAGAGGGAGGUAGAAUUCACAGUGUAGCGGUGGAAUGCGUAGAUAUUGUGAAGAAUACCAAUGGCGAAGGCAGCCUCCUGGAUCUGUACUGACACUGAGGUGCGAAAGCGUGGGUAGCGAACAGGAUUAGAUACCCUGGUAGUCCACGCCGUACACGAUGUCAACUAGCUGUUGGGGAACUAUGUUCUUCAGUGGCGCACUAACGUAGUAAGUUGACCGCCUGGGGAGUACGGCCGCAAGGCUAAAACUCAAAUGAAUUGACGGGACCCGCACAAGCGGUGGAGCAUGUGGUUUAAUUCGAUGCAACGCGAAAAACUUACCUAUACUUGACAUACCUGGAAUACUUUGUAUGAAGUAGCGCUUCGGAGCCAGGAUACAGGCUGCAUGGUGUCGUCAGCUCGUGUCGUGAGAUGUCCGUUAGUCGAUACGAGCGCAAUUAUUUGCGGAAUCCGCGGACUAGACUGAUUGAAGUCAUCAUACGA